rfam:Salmo salar isolate Sally breed double haploid chromosome ssa12, whole genome shotgun sequence.
GGCAGGGUAGCCUAGUGGUUAGAGCAUUGGGUUAGUAACUGAAAGGUUGCAAGUUCAAAUCCCCCAGCUG